rnacentral:SRP_RNA from 1 species
GACCUGGGUCUCGCGCAACGGAAGACUGUGAACCCCGUCAGGUCCGGAAGGAAGCAGCGGUAAGCGGACCCUUUUGUGUGCCGCGAGGGUGCCUAGAUUGAGC